UUGAUUUUGUUUUUGUUGAUUUUGUCCUUGCAUGCAUACACACACACACACACGUGAAGAAAGGAGCUGGUGUACGCAAAUGAAAAGACAAAGAAAAUUGUGGGAAGGAGAGAGAUGGCAAGCAAAAGUGACUUUUGAGUGACAAAUUGUUUUCAAAUUUUGACUGGGGCUGUGCUUAUUUGUGUUAAUGGCAUAAAUUUGCAUAAAAGCAUUAACUGUUUAUUUGCUUUACCGCUCUUCCCCCGCUCUUACUUCCUCCUACCACCCCUUUGUGCAAAUUUGCAAAUUGGCCAGAAAAAGAAACAAGGGAACAAUUCAAAUCACAUUUUUAGACUCUCUUAUUUCCGGAUUUUUCUCCCUUCCCAGGCUUGUCCUGGAUUUUCCUCAUAUGAGCAUCGCUUGAGAGCGAAAGUGAAUUGUAUGUUGAUUAGGGGGAGGGAAAAUAAUGGUUAGGCAAAGAGGGGAAAAAGGGGAUUUCACCUUGCAAGUUAUUGAGUGCCUGUUUUCCCCUCGGGGUCCAAAUGUAAUUUCGUUCUCGUAUUUAUUUAUUAAAGCCCCCGAAAAAGGAAAACAGCCUCCUGAUUGAAUUGUGACAAAUUCUCAUCCUCCUCUUGCGAAGGGCAAGAAUGCAAAUUAAAAUAAGUAAAAUCACGGGAGGGUGGAAAGAAGGCCAAACACACAUGCAUACAAAAUUACCACUAAGAGCGUCCUUUCACGUUCAUUUUUAUGCGGAAUUCUACGUAAUAUUAGAAAGCCUCCGGGGGUAAAGCUUCAGGAGGUGAAAAUAAUGAUUUAAUGAUUUUAAAGAUUAGAUCCGUCCAAAGACACAAAAGGAGGCUUACAAGUAAUGCAUUGGAGGACCAGUGAAAGCGGAGCUCGGAAAAAACGGUUAAAGUCGAUAACGGGCAUUAACAAAGAUUAACGGCCGUAAUACGUUGUGGCUAAAAAUUUCUUUAGAACAGACCGCAAAAUAUUACAAAAAACAACACCAAAUAUUACAUCCUGUUUAACUCUCUCCGUCUGUUUCUUAAUUAUAUGCAAAGAAAUGUUUAACAAGGCCAUGAAAUAGGCUUACAUUUAGGCCUUAACAAGUCUUUCACGCAAAGGACUAAGACCAGUUGAUUUUCGGUUGGCUUAUGUCGUUAAAGACACUUACAAAAUAAGUAAAAAAUAUAUCAACGAAACCAGAGAAACAACAACAGAAAAAACGAGCUGCGAAGUCUGACUGGGGAAUUUUCACACUUUUCCUUGACGGUGCAGUGGGCCAACGAUUUUCUGCCCAUCACUUUGCCACGGAAAAGUUUUCCUUUCACGUCCUCAUCUCCCUGUCGCUCUCAUGAGAAAUGCAUGAAUAUCAAAUUAGGCUGAAGAGUGUUAAUUUCAAGGCGCCACUUUUCUUCCGAUCCUCUGCUCAUCUAUCCUUUUUCAGAGUUAAAAGCAAUUUCCGUCGGACUGCGUGUUAUUCUUUAAAAACUAUUUAACCUUUAAUUCACUUUUUAGAAAACACUCGCUACACCUGGAAGUUAUGUGUCAAAACCAAUAACAUAAUAAUAUAACAAUAACAUUUUGCUAAACAACUCCCAAAUUGCCCAAUUAGCUGCCUAACGUUUACCGGCAACAAAUCAAAGUAAAGAGUUUGAAGCGGGUUGGAAAAGCAGAAAUCAUAUAGUCGCAAAAUCGUAUAUUAGGGAUUAUCUAUUUACAGCUCUGCGUGACUUGCACAAAAGGGUCACCUGGCCAGGCGGGUUAAACAGACGCUGUUGCAUUCACGAAAGUUAAAUGUGCCAUAUAAUUUGUUACUUCUGCAAAUUCUGGUGCCGUUAGGAAUCCAUCUGAAGUCGGGAAGGCCAAACUACAGCUAGCUCAAGUCCCACGUGGCUGACCAUGGUGUAUUUAUUUUGGAGACUUUGAGAACUUGUUGAGGGCGUGGCCACCCCUAGACGCCCACUUCAACGGCACAGUGUGCGUCUUUUUGUGCACGUGAGCGUGUCCCAUAGUUGUUGAUGUCAUUGUCACGUAUGAAGUGCCAUCGACUGACACAAAUGAAGUGGCAGCUAUUAGCUUUAAAGCGAACCAACAACGCUGUUGCUUCCUAGGCAUGAAUAUACCCUUGCACACACACAGCAGUCAAGCGGGCUAGGGUUCAAGUGUGUUUUGGGAAGGUGUACGCAAUUGGUCAUACUGGAGAUAAUCUCGAAAUAUACUAGCGCUGAAUAUUUAACAUAAUUUACUAGGUGGUUAGGUUUCAAAAUGUACAUACAUCUCAAAAAUAAUAAGUCACAAAACAAA